AGUACCGAAUAACACUCAGUCCGCAAGGGCAUGGAUCGAAAGCUCCGGCGCUUUGGCUGAGCCCGCGGCCAAUCAGCAUGUUCUAGGGGUAAUGGCCUACAGAGACGACGUCGCCAAGCCGGCCUGGGAGGGCGACCGGAAACACUGGGACUGACCCACGGCCCAGACUCAUACGCCAGGCUGAAGUGGGGAAUAUUGCACAAUGAGCCACCGCCUGAGGCAGAAACGCCGCGUGAGGAAUGCCGGCCUUCGGAUUGUGAAUCUCUUUCAGCAGGAAGGAAGCGAAAGUGACGGUACCUGCGGAAGAAGCGCCGGCUAACUACGAGCCAGCAGCCGCGGUAAUACGUGGGGAGCAAGCGUUGUCCGGAAUUAUUAAUCGUAAAUAGCUCGCAGGCGCCUUGUCACGUCGGAUGUAAAAGCCCGGGACUUAACCCUGAGUCUGCAUUCGAUACGCCCUAGCUAGAGUGUGGAAGGGUAUAUCGAAAUUCGUGAUGUUGCGGUGAAAUGAGCAGAUUUCAUGUUCUAGUGCUGGUGUCGGAGUCGGAUCACUUGUGCCAGUACUGACGCUGAGGAAGCGAAGGUUUGGGGAGCGGAACAUGAUUGGAUGCUCUGACAGUCGGCGCUGUAAACGUGGUGGACUAGCUGUGAGCGACAUUCCU
rnacentral:rRNA from 1 species